AGUAGGCUACUUCCUGCUCAACUGAACAUUUAUUUUAAAGAGUAGGGGGUGAAUUAAUGCAUUAUUCAUAGCUUUAAAGGCCAACUGAUCUUCUGAAGUAUGCUCUGAACUAGAGUGAAUGUGAUUCUCUGCAUGGGGUCACCAUUUUUAUUCAUUUGGAAAAGGAGGAGGAGGAGAAAAAGAGCCAAUCAGAUCUCCAUGAAGAGAACAGAUAGCUGUGGCCUCAUGAUAUUCAAGGUAACAAGCAGUGACCUGAUGAAUUGAAGUAACCUGAGGAACAUGGCCUGAUACUUUUACCAAUACAAAUGUCUCUGCUAUUUCGGGCCGAGCAGCAGUGCCUUAUUAACAUUUGCUCAGGUAUUAAAUUCACAUUCAUGCUUGAAGUAAACAUGCAUCUAUUAUAAAGAGAGAUGACUCCCAUGAUGAAUAUGAUAUCGCAAAUAAACGAGCCACUGAGGGCUAGGGACCUUGCCCUGUGGCACAGCAGUCAUGGCUUGGUGGACCUGGGAUUUGAAAUUGCAACCUUCCAAUCAGUAGUCCAACACCUUAACCACUAAGCUACCCCAUCCCCAAAGACAAGAUGUGCUGAUUAUA